rnacentral:rRNA from 1 species
AAAUUGAAGAGUUUGAUCAUGGCUCAGAUUGAACGCUGGCGGCAGGCCUAACACAUGCAAGUCGAACGGUAGCACAAAGGAGCUUGCUCCUUGGGUGACGAGUGGCGGACGGGUGAGUAAUGUCUGGGAAACUGCCCGAUGGAGGGGGAUAACUACUGGAAACGGUAGCUAAUACCGCAUAACGUCGCAAGACCAAAGAGGGGGACCUUCGGGCCUCUUGCCAUCGGAUGUGCCCAGAUGGGAUUAGCUAGUAGGUGGGGUAACGGCUCACCUAGGCGACGAUCCCUAGCUGGUCUGAGAGGAUGACCAGCCACACUGGAACUGAGACACGGUCCAGACUCCUACGGGAGGCAGCAGUGGGGAAUAUUGCACAAUGGGCGCAAGCUUGAUGCAGCCAUGCCGCGUGUAUGAAGAAGGCCUUCGGGUUGUAAAGUACUUUCAGCGAGGAGGAAGGCGUUGUGGUUAAUAACCGCAA